rnacentral:rRNA from 1 species
AGUGAACGCUGGCGGCGUGCCUAAUACAUGCAAGUCGAACGGAGUUGCGCACGGGUGAGUAAUAUAUAGCUACCUUGCCCAUUACUAAGGGACCACCGUUGGAAACGACUGCUAAUACCUUAUAGUAAUGGAUAGGGCUAUAUCGUAUCCGCUAGUUGGUAAGGUAACGGCUUACCAAGGCUAUGACGCGGAACUGGUCUGAGAGGAUGAUAAGUCACACUGGAACGGAGACACGGUCCAGACUCCUACGGGAGUCAGCAGUAGGGAAUAUGGCUCAAUGGGGGAAACCCUGAAGCAGCAACGCCGCGUGGAGGAUGACACUUUUCGGAGCGUAAACUCCUUUUCUUGGGAAAGCGGUACCCAAGGAAGAAGCACCGGCUAACUCCGUGCCAGCAGCCGCGGUAAUAC